CCUGGCUCAGGAUGAACGCUAGCGGCAGGCUUAACACAUGCAAGUCGAGGGGCAACGCGAGUAGCAAUACUUGGCGGCGACCGGCGCAAGGGUGCGUAACGCGUGAGCAACAUGCCCGUAUCAGGGGGAUAAUCCAGGGAAACUUGGUCUAAUACCCAUAGUAAUUUUGUAAGGCAUCUUAUAAGAUUUAAAGCUUUGGUGGAUACGGAUUGGCUCGCGUGACAUUAGCUGGAUGGUAAGGUAACGGCUUACCAUGGCUAUGAUGUCUAGGGGUUCUGAGAGGAAGGUCCCCCACACUGGAACUGAGACACGGUCCAGACUCCUACGGGAGGCAGCAGUGAGGAAUAUUGGACAAUGGAUGGAAAUCUGAUCCAGCCAUGCUGCGUGAAGGAAGAAAGGUCCUAUGGAUUGUAAACUUCUUUUGUAUGGGAGCAAUAAGGCCUACGAGUAGGUUGAUGAGAGUACCAUACGAAUAAGCACCGGCUAACUCCGUGCCAGCAGCUGC
rnacentral:rRNA from 1 species